UGAGUAAUCCAGACAGUCGCGUGCCGGCCUGACCGGCAUGAGGAAAGUCCGGGCUGCACAGGGCAAGGAUAGCAGAUAACGUCUGCCGGGGGCGACCCUAGGAAUAGUGCAACAGAGAUAUACCGCCGCGUUUUCCAAACGCGGUAAGGUUGGAAAGGCGAGGUAAGAGCUCACCACGCCCCAUGGUAACAUGGGGGGUCUGUAAACUCUAUCCGCAGCAACGUCAACUGGGAUUAUGGGCGGCCCGUCCGUCCCGACCGACGGCUUGAGGCGUGUGGCGACAUGCGUCCCAGAUAGAUGAUUGUCAAAUACAGAACCCGGCUUACAGGCUUGCUCACGCU
rnacentral:RNase_P_RNA from 1 species